rnacentral:rRNA from 1 species
CUCAUCCUACGGGGGGCAGCAGUAGGGAAUCUUCCACAAUGGACGAAAGUCUAAUGGAGCAACGCCGCGUGAGUGAAGAAGGGUUUCGGCUCGUAAAGCUCUGUUGGUAGUGAAGAAAGAUAGAGGUAGUAACUGGCCUUUAUUUGACGGUAAUUACUUAGAAAGUCACGGCUAACUACGUGCCAGCAGCCGCGGUAAUACGUAGGUGGCAAGCGUUAUCCGGAUUUAUUGGGCGUAAAGCGAGUGCAGGCGGUUUAAUUAGUC